UAACAAACAAACAAACAAACAAACAAACUCUGCUGAUAAAAAUAAAUAAAAGCGUGGCAAGACUCAGCAAAAAGGUGCGUUUGAGAACUCUGUGUGGGCUGCACUAACACUAAACUGUGAUGUCAAAGUUGGGGGUG